rnacentral:rRNA from 1 species
UGGGGAAUAUUGGACAAUGGGCGAAAGCCUGAUCCAGCAAUGCCGCGUGUGUGAAGAAGGCCUUCGGGUUGUAAAGCACUUUAGGCUGGAAAGAAAAAGCUGUGGCUAAUAUCCGCAGCCUUGACGGUACCAGCAGAAUAAGCACCGGCUAACUCUGUGCCAGCAGCCGCGGUAAUACAGAGGGUGCAAGCGUUAAUCGGAUUUACUGGGCGUAAAGCGUGCGUAGGUGGUGGUGUAAGUCGGAUGUGAAAGCCCUGGGCUCAACCUGGGAACUGCAUUCGAUACUGCAUUACUAGAGUUCGGUAGAGGGCGGCGGAAUUCCGGGUGUAGCGGUGAAAUGCGUAGAUAUCCGGAGGAACACCGAUGGCGAAGGCAACCGCCUGGGCCUGAACUGACACUGAGGCACGAAAGCGUGGGGAGCAAACAG